CUAACACUGCUUGUCAGGCGAUGUUGUGGUGGCAACCCACAUAAAAUAGAGGAAGGUUAGCACAGAUGUUAGCUCAGCAACAAAAUUCCUCAAACACGCAUAAAAAAAUAAAAGGCCUAGUAAUGAAUUAAUCGUCAGUUGCCUACCCAGAAUCCACUUUCCCCUUUCUAAUGGUGUGUUUUCAACUGUAUGUCUACUGUUGCCACACAUCACCUCUAUAAUCAACUCCCGAUUGGUUUCAGAAUCAGAGAAUGAAGAUGUAAAGACAGGAACUGUUGGAGCCAUCUUGCUACUAGGAUGAAAAGAGCUUACAAAUGAAGCCGACAUGAAGAGAAGGGUGCAGAUGAGUGGAUUCCACUUAGAAGUAAGCUGACUCUGAGGCUUGCCUUAUCUCUGAACUUCAAGUUCUAAAAGCUAAUAAGUCCCUUUAUUGGCUAAGCUGAUUUGAAUCAGCUCUUCUGUUUCUUGCACCAAACAAUUCAUAACCGAUACAGAAUUUGGUUCCAGGAGUGGGGUGCAGUAAAACACAAACUCUAAAAUGUAGACCUGUCUGAGCAGGGAUGAUGAUGUGAAGAGCACUGGCUGUUGGGACUCAGGCCUGUGCCUACAAAGCACAACAGGGAAAUGGCAGGAAAAAUCCAGAAUUUUGGAUUACAGUAAGAUCCUACAAGAAAGAGACGAUCUUAAGAUGAAGUGACCCAUCUGAAGUCAGAGAAGGAAGAAAAUAUGGUCUUGCUUAAAGUGUCCCUUUCCAGGUAUGGACUGCAAUCAAAACGACUGAAAUCUAACAGUAUUGCGAAAACCUUUACUCCAAGUUAAGGUUCACACAAGUAAAGACAGGAAGUAAGACUGGGGCAAAAGAUAAGCCUAACCCCUUAGGCCAUUCCCAAAUACUUCCUACUAAACAGUCCCGAAUUGACAAAGCAAACAAGUACAGCUGUGAUGGAACCUGAGGGCAGGGAACAAAUCAUUCCACUGGAAGUUAUUGUCAGAAACUGUGCAGAAGCAGAAGCCAAUAUAAAAGUAGCAGCCACUACACUAAGGCCUUAGGGGAUGAUAAUACAACAGAGGCCUGUUGUUAGAUAAUGGAAAUUCCUAGACUCGAAUCCAGUGACCACAGACAGGCUCUCUGUCUAUGGUUCCUAGCCUGUGGAUGUGACUGGUCAAAUACCUUGAUGAUAACUGACAACUAAGUUUAUAAAGGAGCAAUAUUGCCAAAGAAAUCCCAGUCCUGGACAACCAGUCGAUGAUUGCUCAGCUCCUAUGGCAGGCUCAGACUCUUUGAAGUCACACACACAGAAAAGGGGAUGCUAAAAUUAUGCAGCCUCUGGAAGGAGAAACUUCUCCAGAUAUGUCAACGAACAAAGAAAAGGCCCUGAGAGAAGAAAACCAGAGGCUGCCAGAUUGACUGACCAAGCCACUCCUCUGCUGUCAGACCAUCGUCAGACGAUGCUGCUAAGGAGAAGAAAAAAAAGGCUUUAGUACCAGCAUUUCCAAGACAGAGUCCUGGGAUUCACACUGAUUAGAUUGUUUAAGUCAUGUUCUCAUCCCCAAGUCACGUACCCACCUGAGGGGGAUUAUGUCUUUUAUGUAUUGUUAUCUAGUGUGUGUCUGUGUUCAUGUGUGUGUUUCCGCAAAUCUCCUCUUUUAUAAUUGAGAUUUCUCUCAUUGCAGUUACCCUGUUCUUUCUCUACUACCGCAUAUUGUAUGUGUUGGUGACUGGUAAAUUUGUUGUAGCCAUAGUUUACCCAACCAUGAAGAGCUACAUGCAGACUGAAAGAAGGUUGCAUAUCACCCAGAAGUCAUGAACAUGGAAUUAGGUGCAGCAAUUGGGUGAUACCUUGGUUGUCUGUUUUGGGGGACAGAGUAUUUUACGUAGGUAUGGAUGGACAUUUUAAAAAAUGCAUGAACAGGAAGAUGGGUGUUUGUAGGUGUUGCAUGGUCAAAGGAGUGGACUGUCCAAAACCACUUAAUGUGCAUCCUAGGAUUGAGCAAAUGAGUUAAUAUAUUAUAGAAAAUGGGAGCCAAGUUUCUCAUAGUCAAAGAAAGGAGUUAUAAAUAAGGAAAGGGGGAAGGCUAGAAUGAAGUCUGUGAUGUUGUAUUAGAAUAGGAGGUUAUCAACAUGAACUUACGGGGUUUUUUUUGUUUUGUUGUUGUCGUUGAGGAAUAUUGGCCCUGAGCUAACAUCUGUACCAAUUUUCCUCUAUUUUGUAUGUGGGAUGCCAUCUCAGCAUGGCUUGAAGUGGAGCAUGCAAUCUUAACCAAUAUGCCACCAAGCCAGCCCCAAACUUAUGGUUUUUAAUAUGUAGAUACAUAUAGAACUAGACAUAGAUAUAUGUCUAUAUGCCUGUGUGUUCACACAUAUAUUUCCUAGCUCUACCUGCAGAGAGAGCCUAGCAGCAAUGACAUGCAGUAUCAAUGAACACCCUAGUUGCUCAGGUCUUGAUUUCUGAACACCAUUCUCCAGUAAAAGUUACUAGGGUUCCUUGGAGAAAUGACUGAUUCUAAGUCUGAGGCAGAAAAAGUGUGAAACGAGCAUGAAAUGUCUUGUGAUGCCAGAAAUAAAGAAGUACGAAAAAAUGAAACGAUGGGGAUAUGUCUAAAGGACACAGGAGACCACUAGACGAAGCUCCCAAUAGUCAAUCUGGGACAGUUUGAGCAACAAAAUAAAUAAUGCUAGUAAUAAAUUAUAAUCAUAGAAUAAAAUAAGAAUCCAUAAACUAUACAUCAAACAGAUAAAUGAGAGAGAAGCAAAAAUACAGUAAAAUUCUAACUAAUAAAUGUAGAAGGAAUAAUGAAGUUAGAAAAUCACCAUUAGGCAAAUACCACAGUAAUUGUUCUGGGCAAAUUCAUCAAUAAAUGCUCAAAUUAGUGGACAAAAGUAUGAGAAACAUGAUACUUAAAUAAGCUCAAAGUAUCUCCCCCAAAGUUUUUAUUAAUUAAAAAGUGGAAAAUAGUAACGUUAUAAUAGAGAAACUUGGCAGGCACCACCUUACUUUAGUGAUCAACGUUUUCAUCACUGAAAUGGUCCACAUCAUCAUAUGUCUCUGGUUAUGAUACACUAAAAUGGAUAAAGCUUCCCUCUGUGGUAUUCUUUCCCAAAAUGUAUUACCGGACUUUAAAUCAUGAGCAAACAUCAGGCAAACCCAAACUGAGGGCCAUUCUACCAAAUAACUGACCAACGUUCUUCAAAAAUGUCAAGGUGAUGAAAGACAAACUAUUCUAGAUAAAAGGAAACUAAGGAGACAUCACAACUAAAUGCAAAGUUGGGUCUUGUAUUUGUUCUUGAACCAGAGAAAGGAUAUUGGUGGACAACUGGUGACAUCUGAAUAAGGACUACAGAUCAGAGAGUACAUUGUAUCAGAAAGAAUUUCCUGAUUUUAAUCAUUGUACAGAGGUUAUGUUAGAUGUUAACGUUUGGAGAAUUUCAGUGAAGAGUACACAAGAAGUCUUUGUACUAUAUUUGUAACAUAUUUUCAAGUGAAAUCAUUUCAAUAUGGAAGUUUAAAACAUUUUAAAUUUAAAAAUGUGAAAAAAAAUCAUCCUUUAAAAUGUUUCCAUGCUCACCCUUUCUUUAAAACCUUUCUUGACCCCCUUAACUCUUGUUAUUCAGUAUUUCUGUUUACUUCUAUGCUAUAGUGCUUCCUAUUAAGACUCAGUGGUCCAUAGACUGGCAGCCUGUGGGCUAAAUUGGCCUUCAAUCCGUUUUAUGUUUGGCUGGCACAAAAGUCCCCCGUCCCAACCUCCCGCAAAGUUGAUUUGUUACAGCUCCCCGCUACCCCUAAUGUUGCAGACAUCGGGCUGGCUUUACCCAUUUAUAUUACCAGAUUUUUCUUUUAGUAAUUUAAACAUUUCUACCCAAAUCUUGAAAUCUUGUGUAAUGAAUUAAGCAAAAUCUAUUUUCAUAGAUAACUUGACUUCAGACUCUGUUCGAAUAAUUGCAUUUGCUGAUUCACAGGGUCUGAGUUAAUGUUCACUUGACUUUUAUUACAUCAUGAAAAUAAGUGCUAUUUCAUUUUUGACUCAGAAAUAACCAUUAGUCACCAAAUUCCUAACACUGCUCUUUGAGUUUAAUGGCAGUUUAGAUCAAUGGCAAAAUACGUGAAAAUGAGGAGAUUGAGAGAGAUUCUGCAUUUAUUACUCAUUUCUCAGAAACCUGAUGGGUUCUUGAUUUAGGAAUUACAUCACCUUUUCCAGAGUCUUCCUCCAGCUCAUAAUCCAAUCACCUGGGAAGCUUUUAAAAUACUGAUGCUUAGAUGCUACUCUCAGAGAUUCAGAUUGAAUUCCUGUACACCAUGACCUAGGCACUCAUAUUUUAUUUUAAGAUUCCCAAAUGAUUCUGAUGUGCACAUAGGUCUGAGAAUCACUGAUGUCUUCUGGUUAUGUUUGAGGUGAUUGAACACCCCUUUUCACAGGGGAAGGCAUGUAACUGGAACUUCGGUGACUUGACAAAGUUUACCCAGUUCAAUACCUCUUGAUAUGUAGCUCUGGUCACUGAGAAGAAAUUGUACAUUACAAAUUCCUGGGGAGCUUUUUAAGCAUGCACAUUCCAGGGUCACACCCUCAUCGUUGCUGAUUCGGUAUUUUUACUGCACACCAUGCUAAUUACCUGUUAGCCACUUCAUGGAAGGAUGACCUAUGGCUUUUUCUUGUUCAAAGUUUUAUUUCUGAAUCACUUGUCCUGACACAUUCAUUCCUCCCACCACUUUGCCUCUUUUUAAUCCCACCAAAUUCCAAACUUAUUGCUCAUACUUCAGUUUUCAUCUUCAACUUUCCCAUUGAAUUUGACUUCUGGCAUUUCCUUUCUCUUGGCUCCUCAUUGAUCAUAGUAUGGUCUCCUUCUGUGAAUCUGCUUUGGUUUGUCUUGGGAAACUGCCCACAUACCUGAGUCCACACUUCCCAGAGACUUCUCUACCUCACUGUCAUCUCUCCCAUCCUCCAUAUGAUGGAUUUACCCAUUUGGCUUCCUAUAUCAGCUGGUUAAAAAGCAACUUAAAACUUAAUGGCUUAACACAGCAAACAUGAUUCUGUGGGAUAACUGGAUGUUUCUUCUCAUCUGUACCCACUGGGCUGGAGUGGGACUCACUCACAUCUUUGAGAUGUCAACUGGGAUGACUGGGACAGCUUGGGGCCUCUCUCCAUGUGAUCUCCCAUCCUCCAAUAG
rnacentral:lncRNA from 1 species